AGUGAACGCUGGCGGUAGGCCUAACACAUGCAAGUCGAACGGCAGCACAGUAAGAGCUUGCUCUUACGGGUGGCGAGUGGCGGACGGGUGAGGAAUACAUCGGAAUCUACUUUUUCGUGGGGGAUAACGUAGGGAAACUUACGCUAAUACCGCAUACGACCUACGGGUGAAAGCAGGGGAUCUUCGGACCUUGCGCGAUUGAAUGAGCCGAUGUCGGAUUAGCUAGUUGGCGGGGUAAAGGCCCACCAAGGCGACGAUCCGUAGCUGGUCUGAGAGGAUGAUCGGCCACACUGGAACUGAGACACGGUCCAGACUCCUACGGGAGGCAGCAGUGGGGAAUAUUGGACAAUGGGCGCAAGCCUGAUCCAGCCAUACCGCGUGGGUGAAGAAGGCCUUCGGGUUGUAAAGCCCUUUCGUUGGGAAAGAAAAGCAGCAGGUUAAUACCCCGCUGUUCUGACGGUACCCAAAGAAUAAGCACCGGCUAACUUCGUG
rnacentral:rRNA from 1 species